GACGAACGCUGGCGGCGUGCUUAACACAUGCAAGUCGAGCGGGAAACUUCGGUUUCCAGCGGCGGACGGGUGAGUAACACGUGGGCAACCUGCCUCACAAUGAGGGAUAGCCUUCCGAAAGGAAGAUUAAUACCUCAUAACACAAGAGAAACGCAUGUUUCUUUUGCCAAAGAAUUUCGUUGUGAGAUGGGCCCGCGGCGCAUUAGCUAGUUGGUGAGGUAACGGCUCACCAAGGCUUCGAUGCGUAGCCGACCUGAGAGGGUGAUCGGCCACAUUGGAACUGAGACACGGUCCAGACUCCUACGGGAGGCAGCAGCGGGGAAUAUUGCACAAUGGAGGAAACUCUGAUGCAGCAACGCCGCGUGAGUGAUGAAGGUCUUCGGAUUGUAAAGCUCUGUCUUCUGGGACGAUAAUGACGGUACCAGAGGAGGAAGCCACGGCUAACUACGUGCCAGCAGCCGCGGUAAUAC
rnacentral:rRNA from 1 species